CCCAGACUCCUACGGGAGGCAGCAGUGAGGAAUAUUGGUCAAUGGGCGGGAGCCUGAACCAGCCAAGCCGCGUGAGGGAAGAAGGUACAGCGUAUCGUAAACCUCUUUUGUCAGGGAACAAAGGCGGGGACUAGUCCCCGGAUGAGGGUACCUGAAGAAAAAGCAUCGGCUAACUCCGUGCCAGCAGCCGCGGUAAUACGGAGGAUGCGAGCGUUAUCCGGAUUUAUUGGGUUUAAAGGGUGCGCAGGCGGCCGGGUAAGUCAGGGGGAAAAGCCGGGGGCUCAACCGCGGCGAGCCGUUGAAACUGGCGGGCUGGAGUUGGAGAGAAGUACGCGGAAUGCGCGGUGUAGCGGUGAAAUGCUUAGAUAUCGCGCAGAACCCCGAUUGCGAAGGCAGCGUACCGGCUCCACACUGACGCUGAGGCACGAAAGCGUGGGUAUCGAGCAGGAUUAGAUACCCCAGUAC
rnacentral:rRNA from 1 species